UGGCUCAGACAGUAAAGUGUCUGCCUGCAAUGCAGGAGACCCAGGUUCAAUCCCUGG
rfam:Ovis aries breed Texel chromosome 2, whole genome shotgun sequence.